rnacentral:rRNA from 1 species
GACGAACGCUGGCGGCGUGCUUAACACAUGCAAGUCGAGCGGAGCGGCGAACGGGUGAGUAACGCGUGAGUAACUGCCCCCCUCUCUGGGAUAACAGUUGGAAACGGCUGCUAAUACCGGACAGUGGGGGAUGACUCGCGUCCUAUCAGCUUGUUGGUGGGGUAGUGGCCUACCAAGGCGACGACGGGUAGCCGGCCUGGGAGGGGGACCGGCCUCAUUGGGCUGAGAUACGGCGCAAACGCCAACGGGAGGCAGCAGUGGGAAAUAUGGCGCAAUGGGGGAAAGCCUGAGGCAGCAACGCCGGGGGCGGAAUGACGGCCUACGGGUUGUAAACCGCUUUCAGCCAUGACGCGGUAGUGGCAGAAGAAGCACCGGCUAACUACGUGCCAGCAGCCGCGGUAAUUC